rnacentral:lncRNA from 10 species
CCAGGAACCCAUCUUCCGCAAAGCCUACCUUCUGGAGAAAAGAUUUCAGGAAACAGCAAGAUUAUAGACUCCUGCGCAUUCUCAUCUGAGCUUUAUGGGAUGGGAGGGAUCACUGGAGCAUCCUAGAGAAGGCUUGGGCUGGUGCUCAGCAAAGUGGGAACUGCUUCACACUGGGGCCAUAAAACAAUGAAUAAUGGACAAGAAGAAGCCUGUAAUGUGAAGAUUUUAGGAAAUUCAGGAUCAAAUUUCUUUUGGUUG